AUGGCUAGGCAGAAGAUAAAGAUAAAGAAAAUAGACAAUGCAACAGCAAGACAAGUAACAUUUUCAAAGAGAAGAAGAGGAAUCUUCAAGAAAGCUGAGGAGUUAUCAGUGUUGUGUGAUGCUGAAGUUGGUCUUAUUAUUUUCUCAACAACUGGGAAACUCUAUGAAUAUGGCAGUUCCAGGUACCACAUGUUGGUUUGCUCAGUGUUUGGCAUAAUGUUGACCAUGAGUAGCACAUCAUUAGAAUCAUUGUCUCCAGCAUGUGCAUAUUGCACUUGGUCACUAUCUUUCGCUCGAGCUUCCUUCUUUCUUUGA